AUGAACGCUGGCGGCGUGCCUAACACAUGCAAGUCGAGCGGAGGUGUGGAGUAGUUUACUAUGAAGCAUCUUAGCGGCGGACGGGUGAGUAACGCGUGGGCAACCUGCCCUAUGCAGGGGGAUAACAUAUCGAAAGGUGUGCUAAAACCGCAUAAAGCUUAAGAAUCGCAUGAUUUUUAAGCCAAAGAUUUAUCGGCAUAGGAUGGGCCCGCGUCUGAUUAGCUAGUUGGUGAGGUAACGGCUCGACCAAGGCGACGAUCAGUAGCCG
rnacentral:rRNA from 1 species